CAGCCGCCACGGUAAAACGGAGGGUGCAAGCGUUAAUCGGAAUUACUGGGCGUAAAGCGCACGCAGGCGGUUUGUUAAGUCAGAUGUGAAAUCCCCGAGCUUAACUUGGGAACUGCAUUUGAAACUGGCAAGCUAGAGUCUUGUAGAGGGGGGUAGAAUUCCAGGUGUAGCGGUGAAAUGCGUAGAGAUCUGGAGGAAUACCGGUGGCGAAGGCGGCCCCCUGGACAAAGACUGACGCUCAGGUGCGAAAGCGUGGGGAGCAAACAGGAUUAGAUACCCCUGUAGUCCCUGUCUCUUAUAC
rnacentral:rRNA from 1 species